AUGGAUUGGAAUCCUCAAGUGCUAUGUUGGAACGUGCGGGGGCUUAACAACAUGUCCAAAAGGAAUGCCGUGAGGAAUUUCAUUAGUGAAGCUAAAGUUAAUUCGGUGUGUCUCCAAGAGAUAAAACUCAAUGUAAUAGAUACUUAUGUGGUUAUGCAAUGCAUAGGGCCAUCCUUUGAUGGUUUUGCUUACUUGCCGGCUACGUAUACUAGAGGUGGGAUUCUAGUGGGUUGGGAUACGUCCAUUUUGGUGACGGAUAACAUCAGUAUGGAUAACUUUUCCCUCAUGGGACAUGUACAUAAUAAGGAUGGGUGGGAAUGGUGGCUUACGUUGGUUUACGGCCUCCAAAGGUGA
rnacentral:rRNA from 1 species